rnacentral:rRNA from 1 species
AGCUUCAGUAGCGUAUAUUAAAGUUGUUGCAGUUAAAAAGCUCGUAGUCGCAUUUCUGGCGAGAGGAUCCGGUCCGACCUUUUGGUGGGUUCUUGGGUCUCUUUCGCCAUCCUUGAGUGGUCCGUUCUGGCAUUAGGUUGUCGGAGCGUCAGCCGCUCAUCGUUUACUGUGAGAAAAUUAGAGUGUUCAAAGCAGGCUUAUGCCGUUGAAUAUAUUAGCAUGGAAUAAUAAGAUAGGACCUCGGUACUAUUUUGUUGGUUUGCGCACCAAGGUAAUGAUUAACAGGGACAGUUGGGAGUAUUUGUAUUUCGUUGUCAGAGGUGAAAUUCUUAGAUUUACGAAAGACAAACUACUGCGAAAGCAUUUACCAAGGAUGUUUUCA